UCGGGAAUUUUGCGCAAUGGACGAAAGUCUGACGCAGCAACGCCGCGUGAGGGAUGAAGGCCUUCGGGUUGUAAACCUCUUUUAUCAGGGAAGAUAAUGACGGUACCUGAUGAAUAAGUCACGGCUAACUACGUGCCAGCAGCCGCGGUAAUACGUAGGUGACAAGCGUUGUCCGGAUUUACUGGGCGUAAAGAGCGCGCAGGCGGUCGUUCAAGUCGAGUGUGAAAGCCCCCGGCUCAACUGGGGAGGGUCAUUCGAUACUGAUCGACUCGAAGGCAGGAGAGGGUAGUGGAAUUCCCGGUGUAGUGGUGAAAUGCGUAGAUAUCGGGAGGAACACCAGUGGCGAAGGCGACUACCUGGCCUGUUCUUGACGCUGAGGCGCGAAAGCUAGGGGAGCAAACGGG
rnacentral:rRNA from 3 species